UACGAAGGGGCUAGCGUUGCUCGGAAUCACUGGGCGUAAAGGGUGCGUAGGCGGGUCUUUAAGUCAGGGGUGAAAUCCUGGAGCUCAACUCCAGAACUGCCUUUGAUACUGAAGAUCUUGAGUUCGGGAGAGGUGAGUGGAACUGCGAGUGUAGAGGUGAAAUUCGUAGAUAUUCGCAAGAACACCAGUGGCGAAGGCGGCUCACUGGCCCGAUACUGACGCUGAGGCACGAAAGCGU
rnacentral:rRNA from 1 species